GACGAACGCUGGCGGCGUGCCUAAUACAUGCAAGUCGAACGCUUCUUUCCUCCCGAGUGCUUGCACUCGAUUGGAAAGAGGAGUGGCGGACGGGUGAGUAACACGUGGGUAACCUACCCAUCAGAGGGGGAUAACACUUGGAAACAGGUGCUAAUACCGCAUAACAGUUUAUGCCGCAUGGCAUAAGAGUGAAAGGCGCUUUCGGGUGUCGCUGAUGGAUGGACCCGCGGUGCAUUAGCUAGUUGGUGAGGUAACGGCUCACCAAGGCCACGAGGCAUAGCCGACCGGAGAGGGUGAGCGGCCAGACUGGGCCUGAGACACGGCCCAGACUCCUACGGGAGGCAGCAGUAGGGAAUCUUCGGCAAUGGACGAAAGUCUGACCGAGCAACGCCGCGUGAGUGAAGAAGGUUUUCGGAUCGUAAAACUCUGUUGUUAGAGAAGAACAAGGACGUUAGUAACUGAACGUCCCCUGACGGUAUCUAACCAGAAAGCCACGGCUAACUACGUGCCAGCCGCCGCGGUAA
rnacentral:rRNA from 1 species